rnacentral:rRNA from 1 species
GGGGAAUAUUGCACAAUGGGGGAAACCCUGAUGCAGCAACGCCGCGUGAGUGAAGAAGUAUUUCGGUAUGUAAAGCUCUAUCAGCAGGGAAGAUAAUGACGGUACCUGACUAAGAAGCUCCGGCUAAAUACGUGCCAGCAGCCGCGGUAAUACGUAUGGAGCAAGCGUUAUCCGGAUUUACUGGGUGUAAAGGGUGCGUAGGUGGCAGUGCAAGUCAGAUGUGAAAGGCCGGGGCUCAACCCCGGAGCUGCAUUUGAAACUGCAUAGCUAGAGUACAGGAGAGGCAGGCGGAAUUCCUAGUGUAGCGGUGAAAUGCGUAGAUAUUAGGAGGAACACCAGUGGCGAAGGCGGCCUGCUGGACUGUUACUGACACUGAGGCACGAAAGCGUGGGGAGCAGAC